AAUAGAGGCGCGGCAGACAAGAGUACCUGAGGGGAGCCCGACCGGGGCUGCGAUCCUGAGCGAAAGGGAAUGCCGCCGAAACGCGCGGCGCUGGCCCUGCGGCGCGUUGGUCACGAGGAAAACAUCUUUGUGACUGUCAUGGGUGAGCCAUGGAGCGCUAUUCGG
rnacentral:ncRNA from 1 species